rnacentral:rRNA from 1 species
GAUGAACGCUAGCGGCAGGCCUAACACAUGCAAGUCGAGGGGUAACAUAGAAAAGCUUGCUUUUCUGAUGACGACCGGCGCACGGGUGCGUAACGCGUAUACAACCUACCUUUUAGCGGGGAAUAGCCCAGGGAAACUUGGAUUAAUGCCCCAUAGUAUAUAGACUUCUCCUGAAGUUUAUAUUAAACAUUUAUGGCUAUUAGAUGGGUAUGCGUCCUAUUAGUUAGUUGGUAAGGUAACGGCUUACCAAGGCGGCGAUAGGUAGGGGUCCUGAGAGGGAGAUCCCCACACUGGUACUGAGACACGGACCAGACUCCUACGGGAGGCAGCAGUGAGGAAUAUUGGACAAUGGGCGAGAGCCUGAUCCAGCCAUGCCGCGUGCAGGAAGACUGCCCUAUGGGUUGUAAACUGCUUUUACAGAGGAAGAACCACCCCCACGUGUGGGGGUUUGACGGUACUCUGCGAAUAAGGAUCGGCUAACUCCGUG